rnacentral:rRNA from 1 species
UACGGGGGGAGCAAGCGUUGUUCGGAUUUACUGGGCGUAAAGGGCGCGUAGGCGGCAAUUCAAGUCAUCUGUGAAAUCUCCGGGCUUAACUCGGAAUGGUCAGGUGAUACUGCUUUGCUAGAGUGCAGAAGGGGCAAUCGGAAUUCUUGGUGUAGCGGUGAAAUGCGUAGAUAUCAAGAGGAACACCUGAGGUGAAGACGGGUUGCUGGGCUGACACUGACGCUGAGGCGCGAAAGCUAGGGGAGCAAACGGG